rnacentral:rRNA from 1 species
CAGGCCUAACACAUGCAAGUCGAGGGGCAGCAUGGUCUUAGCUUGCUAAGGCCGAUGGCGACCGGCGCACGGGUGAGUAACACGUAUCCAACCUGCCGUCUACUCUUGGACAGCCUUCUGAAAGGAAGAUUAAUACAAGAUGGCAUCAUGAGUCCGCAUGUUCACAUGAUUAAAGGUAUUCCGGUAGACGAUGGGGAUGCGUUCCAUUAGAUAGUAGGCGGGGUAACGGCCCACCUAGUCUUCGAUGGAUAGGGGUUCUGAGAGGAAGGUCCCCCACAUUGGAACUGAGACACGGUCCAAACUCCUACGGGAGGCAGCAGUGAGGAAUAUUGGUCAAUGGGCGAGAGCCUGAACCAGCCAAGUAGCGUGAAGGAUGACUGCCCUAUGGGUUGUAAACUUCUUUUAUAAAGGAAUAAAGUCGGGUAUGGAUACCCGUUUGCAUGUACUUUAUGAAUAAGGAUCGGCUAACUCCGUGCCAGCAGCCGCGGUAAUACGGAGGAUCCGAGCGUUAUCCGGAUUUAUUGGGUUUAAAGGGAGCGUAGAUGGAUGUUUAAGUCAGUUGUGAAAGUUUGCGGCUCAACCGUAAAAUUGCAGUUGAUACUGGAUAUCUUGAGUGCAGUUGAGGCAGGCGGAAUUCGUGGUGUAGCGGUGAAAUGCUUAGAUAUCACGAAGAACUCCGAUUGCGAAGGCAGCCUGCUAAGCUGCAACUGACAUUGAGGCUCGAAAGUGUGGGUAUCAAACAGGAUUAGAUACCCUGGUAGUCCACACGGUAAACGAUGAAUACUCGCUGUUUGCGAUAUACUGCAAGCGGCCAAGCGAAAGCGUUAAGUAUUCCACCUGGGGAGUACGCCGGCAACGGUGAAACUCAAAGGAAUUGACGGGGGCCCGCACAAGCGGAGGAACAUGUGGUUUAAUUCGAUGAUACGCGAGGAACCUUACCCGGGCUUAAAUUGCAGAUGAAUUACGGUGAAAGCCGUAAGCCGCAAGGCAUCUGUGAAGGUGCUGCAUGGUUGUCGUCAGCUCGUGCCGUGAGGUGUCGGCUUAAGUGCCAUAACGAGCGCAACCCUUGUUGUCAGUUACUAACAGGUUCCGCUGAGGACUCUGACAAGACUGCCAUCGUAAGAUGUGAGGAAGGUGGGGAUGACGUCAAAUCAGCACGGCCCUUACGUCCGGGGCUACACACGUGUUACAAUGGGGGGUACAGAGGGCCGCUACCACGCGAGUGGAUGCCAAUCCCCAAAACCUCUCUCAGUUCGGACUGGAGUCUGCAACCCGACUCCACGAAGCUGGAUUCGCUAGUAAUCGCGCAUCAGCCACGGCGCGGUGAAUACGUUCCCGGGCCUUGUACACACCGCCCGUCAAGCCAUGGGAGCCGGGGGUACCUGAAGUGCGUAACCGCGAGGAGCGCCCUAGGGUAAAACUGGUGACUGGGGC